UUCAUAUUCCCUCCGUCCGGAAAUACUUGUCAUCAAAAUGGAUGAAAGGAGAUGUAUCUAGACAUAUUUUAGUUUUAGAUACACCAUUUUUUAUCCAUUUUGAUGACAAGUAUUUUCGGACGGAGGGAGUACAUU
rfam:Triticum aestivum genome assembly, contig: Triticum_aestivum_CS42_TGACv1_scaffold_051405_1BS